GACGAACGCUGGCGGCGUGCUUAACACAUGCAAGUCGAACGGAAAGGCCUCUUUCGGGGGGUACUCGAGUGGCGAACGGGUGAGUAACACGUGAGUAACCUGCCCUUGACUUUGGGAUAACUUCAGGAAACUGGGGCUAAUACCGGAUAGGAGCUCCUGCUGCAUGGUGGGGGUUGGAAAGUUUCGGCGGUUGGGGAUGGACUCGCGGCUUAUCAGCUUGUUGGUGGGGUAGUGGCUUACCAAGGCUUUGACGGGUAGCCGGCCUGAGAGGGUGUCCGGCCACAUUGGGACUGAGAUACGGCCCAGACUCCUACGGGAGGCAGCAGUGGGGAAUAUUGCACAAUGGGUGGAAGCCUGAUGCAGCAACGCCGUGUGCGGGAUGACGGCCUUCGGGUUGUAAACCGUUUUCGCUCAUGACGAAGCUUUGUGUGACGGUAGUGGGUAAAGAAGCACCGGCUAACUACGUG
rnacentral:rRNA from 1 species